rnacentral:misc_RNA from 1 species
CAAACAGUAUUCCAUCAGAUGCGGUGGAAUAUAGUUGCAUUUGUUUUUUAUCUGCUAAUAGUUAUAGGCUAUAGGUAUAUUGAUACUUACUGUACACCAAUUGAUAUCUCUUUAUUUAAAUUUCAAUAGUCUUAUCAAUCUUAUUAUCAAUCUCAAUAAGUGUCAAAAUAAAUAAGUUUUAUUAAAAUAAAUUAUAUUUGUAUUUGUUUGACUUUAGCUCGAAUAAAAAUUUAAAAAGAGAGAGGAAAGAUUACAGUGUUUGGUGAUUCGUAGAAUACACCUGGUGAACGAAAAAAGUAGUGAUAAUAUUAAAGAAACAUUAUUCAAAAUAAGUAGUAACAGAGUAUUUUUAAUUCAUCAAUAUGAAAAAAAAAAAUUUUAAAUCCCAAUUGAUUAUGUGAAAUUACAAUGAAAUGAUGAAUACCGUACGAGAGAACACAGAACAUAGAUAGAAAGUAAUCGGUCAAAAGUGGUGACCAAGAUGGCGGAGUCAAGUUAUUAUCAGAAUGAUUAUUCGAGACAACCAGUUGUGACAGAAUUGUCACAAAAGUAUGGAAUCGCAGGGAGUGAUCAAGUGCCUCUUCCAGCACGCCUUGAUGAAUUACGUGAACACAUUCGCCGUGAAAUACGAAAGGAAUUGAAAAUAAAAGCUGGUGCCGAGAAGCUUCGUGAAGUAGCAUCAGGGCGUAAAGCAUUGUCGGAUGUUGCUAUAAUUGUAAAAAAAGCUAAUAGUAAAUUAAAUGAAUUGCAAGCUGAACUACAACAGCUCGAGAGUCAAAUAAUUUUGACUCAAGGACAACCGCAAGCAUCACAAAGAGACUAUUCUAAUGGUCAAGAUACACAAUCAUCACCUGUUGAUUCGUCAUCUCCAAGUCAAGAAGGACUUAUUACAGACUUAAGACUUUUGUCUUUAGAAAAGCAGCUUAAUAUUGAAUUAAAGGUAAAACAAGGAGCUGAGAAUAUGAUUCAAAGUUUAACGAGUGGACAUAGAGAUAAAAAAUUAUUACAAGAAGCUCAGCAAAUGCUGGAUGAUUCUCGGGCAAAAAUAGAAUUUCUUAAAAUGAGAAUAAUGAAGGUUCGACAAGCAAGGCAACAACAGAAUGCUCGGGGUGAAUCGCCUUUUCAUAAUGGUGAAGCAACUGGUAAUAAAGAUAAGUAUGAACCAAGCUUGGAGUUGGCUCUUGAAGAACGAGUAGAAGAACUUCGUCAUAGAUUAAGGAUUGAAGCUGCUGUUGUAGAAGGAGCUAAAAAUGUUAUUCGUCUUCUACAAAGUGCCAAAGUUGCUGACAAAAAAGCCCUUACUGAAGCUCAAGCAAGUCUUUCGGAGUCUAGUCGUAAGUUGGACUUGUUGAGAAUGGCAUUAGAUCUUAGAAGACAAGAGCUACCACCUGACAGUACUACGGCUGUUCAAUUAAAACGAGAAUUGGCAAAUGUUCAAUCUGCAAGUCCUUUACCUGUAACAUAUACAUCUCUUCAACCGUUUCGUGGACCUCUUGAGGGACGUACUGCUGUCCCGGUCUCUGUUUCACGAUGUGCAGCAGUUACCGGACAGUUAGAAGUAAGGUUAAUGGGUUGUCAAGAUCUUGCAGAAGAAGUACCAGGACGAACACGUCGAGAACAUCAUCCUGCUAGUCCAGAUCUCCGGAGUUUUGUAAAAGGUGUGACAGGACGUAGCUCGAGUAAAUCAUAUAGUGUUAAAGAUGAAAUUUGUAAUGACAUAAUGGCUGUCAUUAAAUUGGAUAAUCAAACGGUAGGUCAAACUAGUUGGCGACCAUGUUCGCAACAAGCUUGGGACCAAAGGUUCUCUAUUGAAUUAGAUAAAUCUCGUGAACUUGAAAUUGGAAUUUAUUGGAAAGAUUGGCGUUCACUGUGCGCUGUUAAAUUUUUACGUCUUGAAGAGUUUAUUGAUGACGUACGACAUGGUAUGGCGCUUCAGCUUGAACCUCAAGGUUUACUAUUUGCUGAAAUUAAAUUUCUUAAUCCUAUGAUUUCAAGAAAACCAAGACUUCAAAGGCAAAGAAAAAUAUUUAAACAACAAGCUAAAAAUUUCCCUAGAGCUAACCAAAUGAAUAUUAAUGUUGCUACGUGGGGAAGACUUCUUAAAAGAUCCGCACCUUCAUUACAUAACACGAGAAGUUCUGAAAGUCCUCCAUCAGGUGCACAAGCGUUACAACUAACAUUUGAUACACCAGUUGAAGAUAAAGCCGAAACUCCUGGAGAAUUACCAGAUCCUGAAAAAGGAGGACUUAGUGGUACUCGUCCUUUAGGAAUGUCUUCAUCAUGUAACAGCUUAUCAACACAAAAUCAUCCGCCCUCACUUCCAUUAGCUCCACCACCACCACCACCUACAUUUUCGACAUCUUUAUCUAAAAAAUCUUCUACAAACUUGGCAGCUCUACCACAACCUCCUAAACUUGAUCAUGAUUUACAGAGUGCACUUAAGGAGUUUGAUUUUCUGCACAACGAGGACAAAAUGGGUGCAAAUUUAAGACCUCUUGUCACGGAGCCUCGCCCCGUACUGAUAGCGCCACCUUCUCCGCGCACUCCCUCGCCUCAACCUGUGAUCGAGUUCCCUGAAGAUGAGGUUCUAUAUGAAAUUCCAAUAAGACCAUUGCAAUACCGAGAUAGUGCUUAUGAAUCUCGAAGACAAUCACAACUAACUGGAAUGACAUUAGAUAAUUUUCGAUUACUAUCAGUUCUCGGUCGAGGUCAUUUUGGCAAAGUUAUUUUAUCACAGUAUAGAAAUACUGGAGAAUAUUUUGCUAUAAAAGCUUUAAAAAAGGGAGACAUUAUUGCCAGAGACGAAGUUGAAUCUUUGUUAUCAGAAAAAAGAAUAUUUGAAGUUGCUAAUGCUACAAGACAUCCAUUCCUUGUCAAUUUAUUUGCUUGCUUCCAAACAGAGGCACAUGUUUGCUUUGUCAUGGAAUACGCUGCGGGAGGUGAUUUAAUGAUGCAUAUACACGCAGAUGUAUUUGGAGAACCUCGUGCUGUUUUUUAUUCAGCUUGUGUCGUCUUAGGACUUCAGUAUUUACAUGAAAGUCGCAUUAUUUAUAGGUAUGGGAUUUGGUGAUCGAACAGGAACGUUUUGCGGUACUCCAGAAUUUUUGGCUCCUGAAGUUCUUACUGAAACUUCGUAUACUCGAGCAGUUGAUUGGUGGGGACUUGGUGUUUUGAUAUUCGAAAUGCUAGUUGGAGAAUCUCCAUUCCCGGGAGAUGAUGAAGAAGAAGUUUUUGACUCAAUUGUAAAUGAUGAAGUUCGUUAUCCACGUUUUUUGUCACUAGAAGCUAUUGCCAUUAUGAGAAGG